rnacentral:rRNA from 1 species
UACAGAGGGGGCAAGCGUUGUUCGGAAUUACUGGGCGUAAAGGGCGCGUAGGCGGCCUGUUAAGUCGAACGUGAAAUCCCCGGGCUCAACCCGGGAACUGCGUCCGAUACUGGCAGGCUUGAAUCCGGGAGAGGGAUGCGGAAUUCCAGGUGUAGCGGUGAAAUGCGUAGAUAUCUGGAGGAACACCGGUGGCGAAGGCGGCAUCCUGGACCGGCAUUGACGCUGAGGCGCGGAAAGCCAGGGGAGCAAACGGGG